GAAUAAAACGUGAAGGAUAACGUUGCGUCAGCAACGGCCCGUAGGGCGAGGCGAAGCCGAGUCAUCCUGCACGACCCACCA
rnacentral:sRNA from 4 species